AUCAGAAGUGCGAAUGCUGACAUGAGUAACGACAAAGGGGGUGAAAAACCUCCUCGCCGGAAGACCAAGGGUUCCUGUCCAACGUUAAUCGGGGCAGGGUGAGUCGACCCCUAAGGUGAGGCCGAAAGGCGUAAUCGAUGGGAAACGGGUUAAUAUUCCCGUACUUCUGACUAUUGCGAUGGGGGGACGGAGAAGGCUAGGUGGGCCAGGCGACGGUUGUCCUGGUUCAAGUGCGUAGGCUUGAGAGUUAGGUAAAUCCGGCUCUCUCUAAGGCUGAGACACGACGUCGAGCUGCUACGGCAGUGAAGUCAUUGAUGCCAUGCUUCCAGGAAAAGCCUCUAAGCUUCAGAUAGUCAGGAAUCGUACCCCAAACCGACACAGGUGGUCGGGUAGAGAAUACCAAGGCGCUUGAGAGAACUCGGGUGAAGGAACUAGGCAAAAUGGUACCGUAACUUCGGGAGAAGGUAC
rnacentral:rRNA from 1 species